rnacentral:rRNA from 1 species
UACGUAGGGGGCAAGCGUUGUCCGGAAUCAUUGGGCGUAAAGCGCGCGUAGGCGGCCCGGUAAGUCCGUUGUGAAAGUCAAAGGCUCAACCUUUGAACGCCGAUGGAUACUGCCGGGCUAGAGUCCGGAAGAGGCGAGUGGAAUUCCUGGUGUAGCGGUGGAAUGCGCGGAUAUCAGGAGGAACACCAAUAGCGAAGGCAGCUCGCUGGGACGGUACUGACGCUGAGGCGCGAAAGCGUGGGGAGCGAACAGG